rnacentral:rRNA from 1 species
AUUGAACGCUGGCGGCAGGCCUAACACAUGCAAGUCGAACGAGUGGCGGAAGGGUGAGGAAUGUCUGGGAAACUGCCUGAUGGAGGGGGAUAAAUACUGGAAACGGUAGCUAAUACCGCAUACUAUCGGAUGUGCCCAGAUGGGAUUAGCUUGUCGGUGGGGUAACGGCUCACCACGGCGACGAUCCCUAGCUGGUCUGAGAGGAUGACCAGCCACACUGGAACUGAGACACGGUCCAGACUCCUACGUGAGGAAGCAGUGGGGAAGCUUUCACAAUUGGCGCAAGCCUGAUGCAGCCAUGCCGCUUGUAGGAAUAAGGCCUUCGGGUUGUAAAGUACUUUCAGCGGGGAGGCGUUACCCGCAGAAGAAGCACCGGCUAACUCCGUGCCAGCAGCCGCGGUAAUAC